AUUCGGGAGGCCGCAUGCCAGUGGGACAGCUGGGGAUUCCGCUCGCUGACCGUCGCCGCAGAAGCUCCUUAAGAUUAAAACUAAGCAGGAAGAAGUGGCUUCCAAGCUCAGGGAAGGCGAAGAAGUCUAACCGUACUUGGCACGCAGUGAGAAGCCCAUCCAUCGUAGAGAUAUACCGACCUUUCUAGGGGAAUAUCAGUUUGUCGGAUCCAAAUGAACCAGUCACAUUACAUCUAGGAUGGACUUGCUCCCUGUGAGCUUCUACAGGGAUUGGCAAGAACAGAAGAUCUUAUAUUUCAUUUUCUGCUAGUUUUGAAAAAGCGCCAUAUUGACACGUUGAACAUCAGCACGAGGAGUCAGUCACUACUAAGAACAGUCCAGCCUUGACGAUGACUGUUUACUAAAUUCAGCAUGUAACCCGAAUACUGUUUCAAAUUGCUCUUUUGACUGUGCCAAGAUCAUGUGAGCUCUUGUUUUGAAGAUGCAGUAAUGCCUCUCUAACUGAAGUUUUGCAAAUGGAAAAUGAGUCAAUACCAUAUUGAGAAAAUGACCAAGGGGAAUUCCACUCUGAAUUUGCAACCUAUAUGAAUUCUCCUUACUUCUGCAAUAUCCAAUUCAUAUUUGGAAACUAAAUUUCAGGAAACCGUCUGAUAAUUAUACUUUGUGAUCAUAAUCUCUUUAAAUAUACUUCAUCAAUAAUUGGAGUGUCCAAUAAAAGUACCGAUUCACUCCUAAGAGCAUAUAGUAGCUAAUGUUGAUUUAAUGCUGUAUGAAUACCUGGCCUAUUUGAAGGAAUUAAUCUGCGUCCUUAGCCCUCGGUUAUUGUUAUAAACACUAGAACGUGGUUUGUACAAAAAAGUCCCUCUUUUGUUUUGCGACACACCGACACAUAAACAAUAUGAGAAACUUAAUGCAGUGACAUUCAUGGUUGCCUCUUUAAAUAAUAAUUUUGAAUUAUUAGUUACUUUUAAUUAUUAUUGCGGCAUAAUAAAUUAACUUACUAUGAUACAAAAUAAAAUUGUAGUGAUAAUAAGACUCAUACCAAAGGAUUCUUUUUCAGGUAUUUGUGACUGUAAUAAAAUAAAAUAAAAAUUAAUCAUGUGCAUAAA